AUGGAAAAUAAAUCGCAGAUCCGAAUGCGACGCAUCGAAAGCAUUUCCACCGUCUCAACUGAACAAUCGCACAAACUACACGAUGAAUCUGCACACAACCAGUUCUAUCCGUCGAGCAAUUACCAUGGUGAUGUUAGCCACGAGUUCAUGUCUUUCUCGGAUCUUCCACCGUCGACCGUGCCGAUCCGUCUACCAUCAUCAAACAACAACUGUGGAUCAACCUUCACAUUUCCACCCACAAAGUGUGAGUGA